UACGAAGGGGGCUAGCGUUGUUCGGAAUUACUGGGCGUAAAGCGCACGUAGGCGGACAUUUAAGUCAGGGGUGAAAUCCCGGAGCUCAACUCCGGAACUGCCUUUGAUACUGGGUGUCUUGAGUGUGGAAGAGGUGAGUGGAAUUCCGAGUGUAGAGGUGAAAUUCGUAGAUAUUCGCAAGAACACCAGUGGCGAAGGCGGCUCACUGGCCCGAUACUGACGCUGAGGCACGAAAGCGUGGGGAGCAAACAGG
rnacentral:rRNA from 1 species